rnacentral:rRNA from 1 species
GACAGAGGGUGCAAACGUUGUUCGGAAUUACUGGGCGUAAAGCGUGUGUAGGCGGUCCACUAAGUCGGGUGUGAAAGCCCUGGGCUCAACCCAGGAAGUGCACUCGAAACUGGCGGGCUAGAGUAUCGGAGAGGUUGGUGGAAUUCUCGGUGUAGAGGUGAAAUUCGUAGAUAUUCGGAAGAACACCAGUGGCGAAGGCGACUCACUGGACACGUAUUGACGCUGAGGUGCGAAAGCGUGGGGAGCAAACAGG